rnacentral:snRNA from 1 species
AUUUAAGGGCGAUCUGACUUUGACAUCUGUCACCUCAUUGAUCACCAGGGUUGAUUUGGCUAAUCUGGAUGAUUAGGUGGUGACCUCUUCCUCCCUCACUGCUCCAUGUAUGUCCCUUCCAAAGCUGCGUGUUCAGUAGAAGAGGAUGACUGCCACAGGUAGAAGGAGUGUACCGAGGUUUCCAUCUUCCAUCCCCAGUAUAGGAAGUAGAGUCCAUGUAGUUUUAACAUCUGGAGACCUACAUUUAGGAACAGGUGUUCUGAGUUCUGUAGAGAUCAGUUAGAGUGAACUUUAUUAAAACUUUAUUAAUACAGCUAGAAAUUACUCUAGAUCAGGAAGGGUAAGCUUGU